rnacentral:rRNA from 1 species
GAGCCUGAGAAACGGCUACCACAUCCAAGGAUGGCAGCAGGCGCGCAAAUUACCCAAUCCCGACACGGGGAGGUAGUGACAAUAAAUAACAAUACGGGGUUCUUUCGGAUCUCGUAAUUGGAAUGAGUACAAUUUAAAUCUCUUAACGAGGAACAAUUGGAGGGCAAGUCUGGUGCCAGCAGCCGCGGUAAUUCCAGCUCCAAUAGCGUAUAUUAAAGUUGUUGCAGUUAAAAAGCUCGUAGUUGAAUUUCGGGGUUAGUAGGUUGGUCAUGCCUCUGGUAUGUACUGAUCUCACUGAUUCCUCCUUCCUGAUGAACCGUAAUGCCAUUAAUUUGGUGUUGCGGGGAAUUUGGACUGUUACUUUGAAAAAAUUAGAGUGUUUAAAGCAAGCUAACGCUUGAAUACAUUAGCAUGGAAUAAUGAAAUAGGACGUUCGAUCCUAUUUUGUUGGUUUCUAGGAUUGACGUAAUGAUUAAUAGGGAUAGUUGGGGGCAUUAGUAUUCAAUUGUCAGAGGUGAAAUUCUUGGAUUUAUUGAAGACUAACUACUGCGAAAGCAUUUGCCAAGGAUGUUUUCAUUAAUCAAGAACGAAAGUUAGGGGAUCGAAGACGAUCAGAUACCGUCGUAGUCUUAACCAUAAACUAUGCCGACUAGGGAUCGGAUGAUGUUAAUUUUUUAAUGACUCAUUCGGCGCCUUACGGGAAA